rnacentral:rRNA from 1 species
AAAGACGACGAAACACACACAAGUUUGGCC